rnacentral:misc_RNA from 1 species
AAAGUCGUAACAAGGUUUCCGUAGGUGAACCUGCGGAAGGAUCAUUAUAAAAUUUUACAUUUUAAUGUAAAAAAAUAAAUGUAUUCAAAACCCAUACUCUUUAAAAUCAUUUAUAUAUGUUGUUGUGUUUAAUUUUUACACACACACAUAUAUUAAAAAAAUAAAAUAUAAAAAAAGACAACUUUCAACAACGGAUCUCUUGGCUCUC